ACCAGAGGUGGCAGUGAAGACAACCAAAAGAACACCUUUAACAACCCCGAAGAGAGCACCAGCCAGUAACGACAUGAAUAUGGUGCCAGGAAUCAUAAAUGUCUGCAUGAAGAUGUAUAUUGCACAGUAACCUAGUAUGAAAUUUGCUUGGUAAUCUUUUGCAUAGACAGCAAGAUUAUCUUUGAGGAUGCGGAGGUCGGAG
rnacentral:misc_RNA from 1 species